GGUACUAAUGCAUGAACAAACUGCAAUGUGGAUAUCUUGGGGCUUUUCUUUUUCCUUUUCUUUCUUUUUUUUCCUGGUGGGAACAAACUGGUGCUUAUAAAGUGGAGGGAACUUGAAGUUGGAGACAACUUCUGCCAUUUCCCAAGAGACAUCUUUUUUAUCAGAGGAAACUGACUUUUUAUGCUGCCUCAAUGAUUCAAUUUGAGUAUAAUUGACUCCAUUUUCUUGUGAGAUUACUCGGGCAAUAAAAGGGACAAUAGAAAAGAACCUUCCCCUCCCAUACCCAACGUAGGUUUGUCCAAAAGUAGCCUGUUAGCAGGCUACUUAUGAUGCAUGUAAUUCCUCUCACAAGGGUAUCUGGAGCAGUUGAAAAGCCAUGCCUCCUAAAGUAAUAGUAAUAGUAACCUGAUUUCUUUGCCUCAGCUGCAGCCUUUAUUGCUUAUGUAAAACCAUAGGAGUUUUCAUCCUGAAUCUGGGUAAGGUUGGCUUUUUAGGUUUUAAAAAUAUUUUUAAAAAAAAUACAUCUUCCAGAGGCUAGAAUUUUACUUUAUAAAAAAAGAUAGGUAGGCCAGGCAAGAUAUCUUACCCCUGUCAUUCCAGUUACUCAGGAGGAGGAAAGAUCAAGGCUCCAGGCCAGCCCAGGCAAAAAGUGAUCAAAACUUCAUGUCACACGGAAGUCGGCAGGAUGAGGUGGUACACAGCCUAGGGACACCCGGAGAAGACAGAAUGGUGACUUCUGGAUUUCCCCAUCUUCCUAUGCCCUCAAGAUUUUCCAGUCCUCCAGUCCCAAUCCUGACCUAGAUUCUCAAGUUUAGCCCUAUGUUGCUCUAGGCCUGCUCUGGAGGAUGGGAGGGGGAAGGAGAAGGGGACACAGUCCUCAGCCCUUUCUACACUGCAGUUCAGAGCAGUCAGCAUCCUGUCUCCAUCCGUCACAGCCUCCAGUCUCCUCCCCAAGUGGAAUGGAGGAUUCAUCGCCAACACAAUCCUGUGACCAGCUCUGUAACCGCAAAUCCCCCUCCUCAACUACGCAGGAAAAUACCACCUCACCCCUCCCUACCAUGUAUUAAAUGUAAAUAGAGCUCAGAGAUUCACUAACCUGAGACUUUUGAAAUGGAAUUAAAAUUUUUCUCAUUUCCUUAAAUAAGACUAA